CCCUCCCUCUGUCGGCAUGCCUAACACAUGCAAGUCGAACGAGACCUUCGGGUCUAGUGGCGCACGGGUGCGUAACGCGUGGGAACCUGCCCUUAGGUUCGGAAUAACUCCCCGAAAGGGGUGCUAAUACCGGAUAAUGUCUUCGGACCAAAGAUUUAUCGCCUUUGGAUGGGCCCGCGUUGGAUUAGCUAGUUGGUAGGGUAAAAGCCUACCAAGGCGACGAUCCAUAGCUGGUUUGAGAGGAUGAUCAGCCACACUGGGACUGAGACACGGCCCAGACUCCUACGGGAGGCAGCAGUGGGGAAUAUUGGACAAUGGGCGAAAGCCUGAUCCAGCAAUGCCGCGUGAGUGAUGAAGGCCUUAGGGUUGUAAAGCUCUUUUACCCGGGAUGAUAAUGACAGUACCGGGAGAAUAAGCUCCGGCUAACUCCGUG
rnacentral:rRNA from 1 species